AUUGAACGCUGGCGGCAUGCCUUACACAUGCAAGUCGAACGGUAACAGGUCUUCGGAUGCUGACGAGUGGCGAACGGGUGAGUAAUACAUCGGAACGUGCCCGAUCGUGGGGGAUAACGAAGCGAAAGCUUUGCUAAUACCGCAUACGAUCUACGGAUGAAAGCAGGGGACCGCAAGGCCUUGCGCGAACGGAGCGGCCGAUGGCCGAUUAGGUAGUUGGUGGGAUAAAAGCUUACCAAGCCGACGAUCUGUAGCUGGUCUGAGAGGACGACCAGCCACACUGGGACUGAGACACGGCCCAGACUCCUACGGGAGGCAGCAGUGGGGAAUUUUGGACAAUGGGCGAAAGCCUGAUCCAGCCAUGCCGCGUGCAGGAUGAGGGCCUUCGGGUUGUAAACUGCUUUUGUACGGAACGAAAAGACUCUGGUUAAUACCUGGGGUCCAUGACGGUACCGUAAGAAUAAGCACCGGCUAACUACGUGCCAGCCGCCGCCGUAACAC
rnacentral:rRNA from 1 species